CCUACGGGCGGCUGCAGUGGGGAAUAUUGGACAAUGGGGGGAACCCUGAUCCAGCCAUGCCGCGUGUGUGAAGAAGGCCCUCGGGUUGUAAAGCACUUUCAGUGAGGAAGAACGCCUGGUGGUUAAUACCCAUCAGGAAAGACAUCACUCACAGAAGAAGCACCGGCUAACUCCGUGCCAGCAGCCGCGGUAAUACGGAGGGUGCGAGCGUUAAUCGGAAUUACUGGGCGUAAAGCGCGCGUAGGUGGCUUGAUAAGCCGGUUGUGAAAGCCCCGGGCUCAACCUGGGAACGGCAUCCGGAACUGUCAAGCUAGAGUGCAGGAGAGGAAGGUAGAAUUCCCGGUGUAGCGGUUAAAUGCGUAGAGAUCGGGAGGAAUACCAGUGGCGAAGGCGGCCUUCUGGACUGACACUGACACUGAGGUGCGAAAGCGUGGGUAGCAAACAGGAUUAGAUACCCGUGUAGUC
rnacentral:rRNA from 1 species